CAUUCGGGGCCCAACCUCCCACCCUUGUAUACUGUACCAAGUUGCUUCGGCGGGCCCGCCGUUCGCGCGGCCGCCGGGGGGGAACCCCUCCCCCCGGGCGAGCGCCCGCCGGAGACCCCAACGUGAACACUGUCUGAAGUUUUGUCGUCUGAGUUCGAUUGUAUCGCAAUCAGUUAAAACUUUCAACAAUGGAUCUCUUGGUUCCGGCAUCGAUGAAGAACGCAGCGAAAUGCGAUAAUUAAUGUGAAUUGCAGAAUUCAGUGAAUCAUCGAGUCUUUGAACGCACAUUGCACCCCCUGGUAUUCCGGGGGGUAUGCCUGUCCGAGCGUCAUUGCUGCCCUCAAGCCCGGCUUGUGUGUUGGGUCCUCGUCCCCCCCGGGGGACGGGCCCGAAAGGCAGCGGCGGCACCGCGUCCGGUCCUCGAGCGUAUGGGGCUUUGUCACACCGCUCUCGUAGGCCCGGCCGGCGCUGGCCGACGCUGAAAAGCAACCAUUAUUUCUCCAGGUUGACCUCGGAUCAGGUAGGGAUACCCGCUGAACUUAAGCAUAUCAAUAAGC
rnacentral:misc_RNA from 1 species